rnacentral:rRNA from 1 species
GGUCAAGAAGAAAAGGGCACAUGGUGGAUGCCUAGGCGCUAAGGGCCGAAGAAGGGCGUGGAAAGCUGCGAAAAGCCACGAGUAGCCGCAAGCAGGCGUUGAUACGUGGAUACCCGAAUGGGGCAACCCGGCGGAGCAAAACUCCGUCACCCUAUGCUGAACACAUAGGCAUAGAGGAGGGCACCCGGGGAACUGAAACAUCUAAGUACCCGGAGGAAAAGAAAGAAACAUCGAACCCCCAAGUAGCGGCGAGCGAAAAGGGGCGAGCCUAAACCAGAAUUCUUCGGAAAUCUGGGGUUGCGGGACCUUCAACACGUGAUUGCUAGUCCUAGUCGAAGACACCUGGAAAGGUGCUGCACAGAAGGUAAAACACCUGUAGACGAAAGGACGAAGAUUGCAGAGGGAAUCCCAAGUACUGCGGGACACGAGAAACCCCGUGGGAAUCAGGGGGGACCACCCCCCAAGGCUAAAUACUCUUAGCGACCGAUAGUGAACAAGUACCGUGAGGGAAAGGUGAAAAGCACCCCGGGAGGGGAGUGAAAUAGAACCUGAAACC